rnacentral:rRNA from 1 species
GAUGAACGCUGGCGGCGUGCCUAACACAUGCAAGUCGAGCGAACGGACGAGAAGCUUGCUUCUCUGAUGUUAGCGGCGGACGGGUGAGUAACACGUGGAUAACCUACCUAUAAGACUGGGAUAACUUCGGGAAACCGGAGCUAAUACCGGAUAAUAUUUUGAACCGCAUGGUUCAAAAGUGAAAGACGGUCUUGCUGUCACUUAUAGAUGGAUCCGCGCUGCAUUAGCUAGUUGGUAAGGUAACGGCUUACCAAGGCAACGAUGCAUAGCCGACCUGAGAGGGUGAUCGGCCACACUGGAACUGAGACACGGUCCAGACUCCUACGGGAGGCAGCAGUAGGGAAUCUUCCGCAAUGGGCGAAAGCCUGACGGAGCAACGCCGCGUGAGUGAUGAAGGUCUUCGGAUCGUAAAACUCUGUUAUUAGGGAAGAACAUAUGUGUAAGUAACUGUGCACAUCUUGACGGUACCUAAUCAGAGAGCCACGGCUAACUACGUG